rnacentral:rRNA from 1 species
UACCGAGGGGGCAAGCGUUAUUCGGAAUUAUUGGGCGUAAAGGGCGCGUAGGCGGCCUGGCAAGUGGAAGGUGAAAUCCCUCGGCUUAACCGAGGAACUGCCCUCCAAACUGCUUGGCUUGAGUCCGGGAGAGGUGAGUGGAACUGCGAGUGUAGAGGUGAAAUUCGUAGAUAUUCGCAAGAACACCAGUGGCGAAGGCGGCUCACUGGCCCGGUACUGACGCUGAGGCACGAAAGCGUGGGGAGCAAACAGG